UUUAUUUUUUUCUCAAGAACUCCAUUUUGCUCCCCAAACCUUAUUUUUGUCAUGUAUGUUUCUUAGUCUAAUUUCAGGAUGAAUGAGAAAAGGGCCGUAAGGCCUCAGACGCCCAGUUCCACUACAAUGAACGAGCGAACGAACCUCUUCUUCUUCCAACUCAAGAAUCCUCUUCUUCAUCUAACUGAACUUAACUCAACUAUUCUACUUCAUCCAACUCAACUCAACUAUUGCUUUCAUCACUUCGCCGUGAUUUCUUUUUUCCGAGCAAUCUACUAAACAGUCGAAAACAUUGAUUUGAUUCUGACGAUUUGUGACAAAGUAAUACCUCACUUAGGCAAGCUAUGGACAACGUAGGAUGGAAAGGGUAUCUUAAAUGUGUAACUGGCACUUGCUUGUGUGGGGUCGGCAUUCUCCUGGGUUCUGUUGGAUACCAUGUAACAAAUCCUACUGAAAAGGUGGCUUAUAAUCUCUUAGCGUGUACAUCUGUAGUCUUGGGUUCCAGUUUGACUUACCAUGCGUUGAAAAACGGAGAAAGCGACGAAAGUAUUGGUCCAGAAGUCUUGGCGAAUGAUAUCACUUACAUAUCAGUCAAUGAAGAAAAUGGAAUGAAAUAGAAUUGGAACGGAGUAUUCCUUCAUGAAGCCGAAAGACCUUGUGGACUUUUAAAUCAUGUUUUAAAUUGUAUUUCGUUUUACAAUUUUAUCAUCGGAUUUGUGUAAUAAACAUUUUAAUUCUUUA